rnacentral:rRNA from 1 species
CGAGGGGCAGCGGGGUAGUGCUUGCACUACUGCCGGCGACCGGCGCACGGGUGAGUAACACGUAUGGAACCUGCCCGCAGCAGGGGGAUAAGCGGAAGAAAUUCCGUCUAAUACCGCGUAACAACGUUGGGAGGCAUCUCCCGAUGUUUAAAGAUUUAUCGGCUGCGGAUGGCCAUGCGGCGCAUUAGCUAGUCGGCGGGGUAACGGCCCACCGAGGCGACGAUGCGUAGGGGUUCUGAGAGGAAGGUCCCCCACACUGGUACUGAGACACGGACCAGACUCCUACGGGAGGCAGCAGUGAGGAAUAUUGGUCAAUGGCCGAGAGGCUGAACCAGCCAAGUCGCGUGAGGGAAGACGGCCCUACGGGUUGUAAACCUCUUUUGUCGGGGAGCAAAGAGAGCCACGUGUGGCUCAUUGAGAGUACCCGAAGAAAAAGCAUCGGCUAACUCCGUGCCAGCAGCCGCGGUAAUACGGAGGAUGCGAGCGUUAUCCGGAUUUAUUGGGUUUAAAGGGUGCGCAGGCGGAGGUGCAAGUCAGCGGUCAAAUUGCGGGGCUCAACCCCGUACUGCCGUUGAAACUGCAUCCCUUGAGUGCGCGAGAAGUAUGCGGAAUGCGUGGUGUAGCGGUGAAAUGCAUAGAUAUCAGAGAGAACUCCGAUUGCGAAGGCAGCAUACCGGCGCGCAACUGACGCUCAUGCACGAAAGCGUGGG